rnacentral:rRNA from 1 species
CAGUAGCCGCGGUAAUACGAAGGGGGCUAGCGUUGCUCGGAAUGACUGGGCGUAAAGGGCGCGUAGGCGGCGGCCAAAGUCAGGCGUGAAAUUCCCGGGCUCAACCUGGGGGCUGCGUUUGAUACUUGGUUGCUUGAGUGGGGAAGGGGGUCGUGGAAUUCCCAGUGUAGAGGUGAAAUUCGUAGAUAUUGGGAAGAACACCGGUGGCGAAGGCGACAUACUGGUCCAUUACUGACGCUGAGGCUCGAAAGCGUGGGGAGCAAACAGGAUUAGAACCCCUGUAGUCCCUGUCUCUUAUACA